rnacentral:rRNA from 1 species
UACGUAGGCAGCGAGCGUUGUUCGGAGUUACUGGGCGUAAAGGGUGUGUAGGCGGUUGUUUAAGUUUGGUGUGAAAUCUCCCGGCUCAACUGGGAGGGUGCGCCGAAUACUGAAUGACUAGAGUGCGGGAGAGGAAAGUGGAAUUCCUGGUGUAGCGGUGAAAUGCGCAGAUAUCAGGAGGAACACCGGUGGCGAAGGCGGGUCUCUGGGCCGAAAUUGACGCUGAGGAGCGAAAGCGUGGGGAGCAAACGGG